GUUCUUGUAGUUGAGUUACAGCGAUAGCUUUUCAAGUUGUAGGCCUAGGUUAGAGUCCUGGCAGGAAUA
rnacentral:tRNA from 1 species